UCAUCAAGCAUGAAAACCAGUAGGCGAAUAACAUUCCUUCCACCUCAACUCAGCUGACCACUCGUUUAAUGGCAGUAGUGGCCACUCAGAAGUAGAAGCGGGCGGUGGGCUCGCGGAGCGGCGCAAGCCUCAAAAAAAAAAGUUCUCGAGGUCCUUCCGUCAUCAUCGAGUCUCUGCAGUUCAUUCAAUCUUUCUCUCGUCGGACCCCAAAAAACCAAGGAGAUUGGCGAGCUCAUGGCGAAAUUGCACUCCACUCGCGGACUCUUUUUUCCGCUUGCCAACGUCGCCAGGUAACUUGAGAAUAGGAAAAUGGCCGGAAGGCUGGCCGCGCGGUCGCCGCC
ensembl:ncRNA F26A10.4 ncRNA